rnacentral:rRNA from 1 species
AGUGAACGCUGGCGGUAGGCCUAACACAUGCAAGUCGAACGGCAGCACAGUAAGAGCUUGCUCUUACGGGUGGCGAGUGGCGGACGGGUGAGGAAUACAUCGGAAUCUACUUUUUCGUGGGGGAUAACGUAGGGAAACUUACGCUAAUACCGCAUACGACCUACGGGUGAAAGCAGGGGAACUUCGGACCUUGCGCGAUUGAAUGAGCCGAUGUCGGAUUAGCUAGUUGGCGGGGUAAAGGCCCACCAAGGCGACGAUCCGUAGCUGGUCUGAGAGGAUGAUCAGCCACACUGGAGCUGAAACACGGUCCAGACUCCUACGGGAGGCAGCAGUGGGGAAUAUUGGACAAUGGGCGCAAGCCUGAUCCAGCCAUACCGCGUGGGUGAAGAAGGCCUUCGGGUUGUAAAGCCCUUUUGUUGGGAAAGAAAAGCAGCAGGUUAAUACCCCGCUGUUCUGACGGUACCCAAAGAAUAAGCACCGGCUAACUUCGUG